GUGCUUGCUUCGGCACCCAUACUAAAACUGGAAUGAUACAGAGAAGUCCAGCAUGGCCCCUGUGCAAGGAUGACACACACAGUCAUAAAACAUUUCAUGUGUUU
ensembl:snRNA U6 U6 spliceosomal RNA